UACGGGGGGGGCAAGCGUUGUUCGGAAUUACUGGGCGUAAAGGGCUCGUAGGCGGCCAACUAAGUCGGACGUGAAAUCCCUCGGCUUAACCGGGGAACUGCGUCCGAUACUGGAUGGCUUGAGUUCGGGAGAGGGAUGCGGAAUUCCAGGUGUAGCGGUGAAAUGCGUAGAUAUUAGGAAGAACACCAGUGGCGAAGGCGGCUCACUGGCCCGGUACUGACGCUGAGGCGCGAAAGCGUGGGGAGCAAACAGG
rnacentral:rRNA from 1 species